UAGCCAAGUGGUUAAGGCUAUAGAUUGCCAAUCCAGAGACGGCGGGUUCGAUUCCCGU
rnacentral:tRNA from 1 species